rnacentral:tRNA from 1 species
UCCCUGGUGGUCCAGAGGUUAAGACAGCAUUCCCAAUGCAGGGGGCGCAGGUUCAAUCCCUGGUCAGGGAA